UUGGAAUCUUUAUACAUCUGGUUUUAUAAAGGUGGUGCCUUCUCCUAUUGGUUGUCGUAUUUACACAGCUUGAGAAUGCUCAUCCUUGAGACUUGCACGGAAUGUGGGGUUUUGCCUCCUUUAGGGAAACUGGCGUCCCUUUAAUCAUUGCAUAUUGUGCAACUCCAUGGAGUCUCAAAGGUAGGAGUUGAGUUUUUGGGAAUAGAUGAUGGGCAAACCUCCUCCUCCUCGUCUUCCAUUUUCAUAUCAUUCCCCAAGCUUAAACAACUCGGCUUCUACAACAUGGGGGCAUGGGAAGAGUGGGUAGGAGUGGAAAAUAAUAAUAUUACAAUCAUGCCAUGCCUCUCUCAAUUGACAAUUGGGUACUGCUACAAGCUAAAAGCACUGCCGGACUUCCUGUGGGAGACACCACUACAGAAAUUGCACAUCUUUAGAUCUCCAAUUCUCCAAGACCUUUACAGACAAGGAAUAAGUGAGAAGUGGGCCAAGAUCCCAACCAUCGUGAUAGAAGACUAAUCUGGAUGACGCAUCUCAAAGGCUUCAGCUUCUCUUGAAACAAGCACAGUUCUCUAUCAUUCGUCAUAUUUCAACCUGGGAUGCAUGUCCAAUGGAAGUCAAUAUUGGAGCUAGGGGACAAGGAAACAUCAAUUGAGCAUCAGGCCUUGUCUUCCCC